GAUCAUGGCUCAGGACGAACGCUGGCGGCGUGCCUAACACAUGCAAGUCGAGCGAGUUAAUCUCCUUCGGGAGUGAAGCUAGCGGCGGACGGGUGAGUAACACGUGGGCAACCUGCCUCAUAGAGGGGAAUAGCCUUCCGAAAGGAAGAUUAAUACCGCAUAAGAUUGUAGCUUCGCAUGAAGUAAGCAAUUAAAGGAAGGCAAUACCGCCUAUGAGGAAUGGGCCCGGCCGGGCGGCCAUUUAG
rnacentral:rRNA from 1 species